GUGGGAUGUAAUCGCCUUAUUAUUAACUCAGAUAACCUGGAGGUAAUUUAUACUAUGCAGGAUGGAGGACAAUCAGCGGCAGCAAUCUUUGACGAUUGUUUUCAUUAUGCUUGUGAUUUUAGUAUUACUAGAUUCGAACAUUGUAAUAGAGAAGCAAAUAAAGUAGCUCAUGAGCUUGCUAAAUUAGCUAGAUUUUCUUUGACUUCUGUUUGGUUUGAGGAAGCUGUAGAUGAGAUUGCAGUGAUCCUCAUGACCUCAUGAACGAUGUACUUCUAA
rnacentral:rRNA from 1 species